rnacentral:rRNA from 1 species
UACGUAGGGUGCUAGCGUUAAUCGGAAUUACUGGGCGUAAAGCGUGCGCAGGCGGUUUUGUAAGCCAGAUGUGAAAUCCCCGGGCUUAACCUGGGAAUGGCAUUUGGGACUGCAAGGCUGGAGUGCGGCAGAGGAGACUGGAAUUCCUGGUGUAGCAGUGAAAUGCGUAGAUAUCAGGAGGAACACCGAUGGCGAAGGCAGGUCUCUGGGCUGACACUGACGCUCAUGCACGAAAGCGUGGGGAGCAAACAGG